UUUAAACUAUGUAGAUGAAUG
rnacentral:piRNA from 1 species